rnacentral:rRNA from 1 species
GAUGAACGCUGGCGGCGUGCCUAAUACAUGCAAGUCGAGCGAACAGACGAGGAGCUUGCUUCUCUUACGUUAGCGGCGGACGGGUGAGUAACACGUGGAUAACUUACAUAUAAGACUGGCAUAACUUCGGGAACCCGGAGCUAAUACCGGAUAAUAUAUUGAACCGCAUGGUUCAAUAGUGCAAGCCGGAUUUGCUGUCACUUAUAGAUGGAUCCAGGCCGCAUUAGCUAGUUGGUAAGGUAACGGCUUACCAAGGCAACGAUGCGUAGCCGACCUGAGAGGGUGAUCAGCCACACUGGAACUGAGACACGGUCCAGACUCCUACGGGAGGCAGCAGUGGGGAAUAUUGCGCAAUGGGCGAAAGCCUGACGGAGCAACGCCGCGUGAGUGAUGAAGGUCUUCGGAUCGUAAAACUCUGUUAGUAGGGAAGAACAGAUGUAUGAGUAACUAUGCACGUCUUGACGGUACCUAAUCAGAAAGCCACGGCUAACUACGUG